rnacentral:rRNA from 1 species
CCCUUAGAUGUUCUGGGCUGCAUGCGCGCUACACUGAAGCUAUCAACACGUUUUCCCUCCCUGAGAAGGGCGGGUAACCUUUUGAAUCAGCUUCGUGGUAGGGAUCGGGGCUUGCAAUUGUUCCCCGUGAACCAGGAAUUCCUAGUAGACGCGAGUCAUAAGCUCGCAUCGAUUAAGUCCCUGCCCUUUGUGCACACCGCCCGUCGCUACUACCGAUUGAACGUUUUAGUGAGGCAUUUGGACCGACGCAUCUCAGUUUAACCGCUGGUUUGUGUUGGAAAGACUUCCAAACUUGAGCGUUUAGAGGAAGUAAAAGUCGUAACA